GGGAAAGUAGCUCAGUGGUGGAGUGCUUGCCUUGCAAGCAUGCGGCCCUAGGUUCGAUUCCUCAGCCCCA
rfam:Dipodomys ordii contig_30601, whole genome shotgun sequence.